rnacentral:rRNA from 1 species
GAAUUCGCCCUUAGAGUUUGAUCCUGGCUCAGGAUGAACGCUGGCGGCGUGCUUAACACAUGCAAGUCGAACGAGAACCAAUGGAAUGAGGAUUCGUCCAAAGGAAGUUGGGGAAAGUGGCGGACGGGUGAGUAACGCGUGAGCAAUCUGCCUUGGAGUGGGGAAUAACGGUUGGAAACAGCCGCUAAUACCGCAUGAUACAGCUAUCCCGCAUGGGGUUGGCUGUCAAAGAUUUAUCGCUCUGAGAUGAGCUCGCGUCUGAUUAGCUUGUUGGCGGGGUAACGGCCCACCAAGGCGACGAUCAGUAGCCGGACUGAGAGGUUGGCCGGCCACAUUGGGACUGAGACACGGCCCACACUCCUACGGGAGGCAGCAGUGGGGAAUAUUGGGCAAUGGGCGCAAGCCUGACCCAGCAACGCCGCGUGAAGGAAGAAGGCUUUCGGGUUGUAAACUUCUUUUCUCAGGGACGAAGAAAGUGACGGUACCUGAGGAAUAAGCCACGGCUAACUACGUGCCAGCAGCCGCGGUAAUACGUAGGUGGCAAGCGUUAUCCGGAUUUAUUGGGUGUAAAGGGCGUGUAGGCGGGAGCGCAAGUCAGAUGUGAAAACUCAGGGCUCAACCCUGAGCCUGCAUUUGAAACUGUGUUUCUUGAGUGCUGGAGAGGCAAUCGGAAUUCCGUGUGUAGC